AUUGAACGCUGGCGGCAUGCCUUACACAUGCAAGUCGAACGGUAACGCGGGGCAACCUGGCGACGAGUGGCGAACGGGUGAGUAAUGCAUCGGAACGUGCCCAGUAGUGGGGGAUAGCCCGGCGAAAGCCGGAUUAAUACCGCAUACGACCUACGGGUGAAAGCGGGGGACCGUAAGGCCUCGCGCUAUUGGAGCGGCCGAUGUCAGAUUAGGUAGUUGGUGGGGUAAAGGCUCACCAAGCCAACGAUCUGUAGCUGGUCUGAGAGGACGACCAGCCACACUGGGACUGAGACACGGCCCAGACUCCUACGGGAGGCAGCAGUGGGGAAUUUUGGACAAUGGGCGCAAGCCUGAUCCAGCCAUGCCGCGUGCGUGAAGAAGGCC
rnacentral:rRNA from 1 species